rnacentral:rRNA from 1 species
AGACCAGACUCCUACGGGAGGCAGCAGUGGGGGAUAUUGCACAAUGGGGGAAACCCUGAUGCAGCGACGCCGCGUGAGUGAAGAAGUAUUUCGGUAUGUAAAGCUCUAUCAGCAGGGAAGAAGAUGACAGUACCUGAGUAAGAAGCCCCGGCUAACUACGUGCCAGCAGCCGCGGGAAUACGUAGGGGGCAAGCGUUAUCCGGAUUCACUGGGUGUAAAGGGAGCGUAGACGGCGGCGCAAGUCUGGAGUGAAAGCCCGGGGCCCAACCCCGGGACGGCUCUGGAAACUGCGGCGCUGGAGUACGGGAGGGGCAGGCGGAAUUCCUGGUGUAGCGGUGAAAUGCGUAGAUAUCAGGAGGAACACCGGCGGCGAAGGCGGCCUGCUGGACCGUGACUGACGUUGAGGCUCGAGAGCGUGGGGAGCAAACAGGAUUAGAUACCCGGGUA